CUCCCGUAAACAAGACUUGGGAAUGGGCUCUGGCAUGCCGAGGGAUGAAAUGCUGAUGGGUAAGCACACCCAUACAUCACGGCAGCACGCCUCGAAAAAGACCUGGUUUACACAUCCAGUCCCUUCUUCUGUGACUGGGCAGACAACCACGUGAAUCUUUUCAAGAGCUUGGACCUAAGUUUUCCGUGUGGAUUUGUGUCUGGGGGAACUGAAAAAGAUGAAGGAUUUUGCACUGUGAAUGGAAGUCCACCACGCUGGGAUCCCUGCCCACCUCACUUCAUCAUUGCUUGGGAUUCUCAGCUGCACGUCAUCAACCAUCACCACCUUUUGGCCUGCUGCGCUUGCUCCGUCUCACACUUCAUCACUUCUUGCAUUUUUUGUGAGUGCUCAGCUCUGUUACAGACUCUAUCCACACAUGCAUUAUUUCCAAAUUAAAGAGAAAUGA